rnacentral:rRNA from 1 species
AUUGAACGCUGGCGGCAGGCCUAACACAUGCAAGUCGAGCGGAUGAAGAGGGCUUGCUCUCUGAUUUAGCGGCGGACGGGUGAGUAAUGCCUAGGAAUCUGCUUGGUAGUGGGGGAUAACGUUCCGAAAGGAACGCUAAUACCGCAUACGUACUACGGGAGAAAGCAGGGGACCUUCGGGCCUGGCGCUAUCCGCUGAGGCUAGGUCGGAUUAGCUAGUUGGUGAGGUAAUGGCUCCCCAAGGCGACGAUCCGUAACUGGGCUGAGAGGAUGAUCCGUCACACUGGAACUGAGACACGGUCCAGACUCCUACGGGAGGCAGCAGUGGGGAAUAUUGGACAAUGGGCGAAAGCCUGAUCCAGCCAUGCCGCGUGUGUGAAGAAGGUCUUCGGAUUGUAAAGCACUUUAAGUUGGGAGGAAGGGCAGUAAGUUAAUACCUUGCUGUUUUGACGUUACCGACAGAAUAAGCACCGGCUAACUUCGUGCCAGCAGCCGCAGUAAUAC